rnacentral:lncRNA from 1 species
GACUACCAUUUACGACUACGUUAAAGUCCGUCGUAACUUAGACUAAAAAGUUGUCGUAAAUUGGUCGUAAACUAACUUCGCAUUUACGACCACACUUUCAAGCCCUGUUCAAAAACGCGGCCGCCUAGCCGCCUAGGCGUCCGCAUAUUCGCUACUCGGACCCUCUCCGCCGCGAUUUUACUCUAGGCGGAUCACAAAAUCGGAACUGGACUAAUCGGC